AUUGAACGCUGGCGGCAUGCUUUACACAUGCAAGUCGAACGGUAACGGGUUAAGCUGACGAGUGGCGAACGGGUGAGUAAUGCAUCGGAACGUGCCCGAUCGUGGGGGAUAACGCAGCGAAAGCUGCGCUAAUACCGCAUACGAUCUGAGGAUGAAAGCGGGGGACCGUAAGGCCUCGCGCGAUCGGAGCGGCCGAUGUCAGAUUAGGUCUUUGGUGGGGUAAAGGCCCACCAAGCCGACGAGCUGUAGCUGGUCUGAGAGGACGACCAGCCACACUGGGACUGAGACACGGCCCAGACUCCUACGGGAGGCAGCAGUGGGGAAUGUUGGACAAUGGGCGAAGGCCUGAUCCAGCAAUGCCGCGUGCAGGAAGAAGGCCUUCGGGUUGUAAACUGCUUUUGUACGGAGCGAAAAGGUCCUUUCUAAUACAAGGGGCUCAUGACGGUACCGUAAGAAUAAGCACCGGCUAACUACGUGCCAGCCGCCGCGGUAAGAC
rnacentral:rRNA from 1 species